AAACACAGGCCAUGGUGAGAGAGAGUUGUGUAGAGCUGAUAGGCUUAAUUGGCUUUGUUUCAACUCAUUUUGCAAAUGGCUUGUAUGUAACGGACGUUCAUUAAUGUAAAACAG